GGCCCUGGUCGUUCGGUCCGCUUCACGGCGUGCACUGUUUCGAUUGGGCCUUCCUUUCUUGGUGAGCCUUGGAUGCCGUUUAUUCGGUGUUCAAGUGUCUGGCCAGGACUUUUACUUUGAAAAAAUUAGAGUGUUCAAAGCAGGCCUAUGCCCGAAUAUAUUAGCAUGGAAUAAUAGAAUAGGACGUUGCGGUCCUAUUUUGUUGGUUUCUAGGAUCCGCCGUA
rnacentral:rRNA from 1 species